GCGGCAGUGGCGGAAUUGGCAGACGCGUAAGAUUCAGGUUCUUAUGUGCAGUGAGCACGUGGGGGUUCAAGUCCCUUCUGCCGCACCA
rnacentral:tRNA from 1 species